CGAAAGCCUGACGGAGCAAUACCGCGUGAGGGAGGAAGGCUCUUGGGUUGUAAACCUCUUUUCUCAGGGAAGAAAACUGACGGUACCUGAGGAAUAAGCAUCGGCUAACUCCGUGCCAGCAGCCGCGGUAAUACGGAGGAUGCAAGCGUUAUCCGGAAUUAUUGGGCGUAAAGCGUCCGUAGGUGGCCGUUCAAGUCUGCUGUUAAAGGCUGGGGCUCAACCCCAGACAGGCAGUGGAAACUGAACAGCUAGAGUGUGGUAGGGGUAGAGGGAAUUCCCGGUGUAGCGGUGAAAUGCGUAGAGAUCGGGAAGAACACCGGUGGCGAAAGCGCUCUGCUGGACCACAACUGACACUGAGGGACGAAAGCUAGGGGAGCG
rnacentral:rRNA from 1 species